UGAUAUUCCCUGCAUCGCGCGGAUUUGCUAGAAAAACCCACCCAAUUAGAGGGAAUUCAGAAAUUAAUUAGGUACAACUUCCGUAUUUUAUUGGAUUCUCGAACAUGGUUACAAAGGUCGCGAAGUAACCUCAGCAAUGGCGAAAAGUGCUUCUGUGCUUGGUAAUCUUCCUCACUUAUUUAUCGACUUGCAGUUGGUUAUUUCAAACAUAUUAAUUUUGCAAAAUAUAGGAUAUUGGAAUAAGUUAUUGAUCAUCAAGUUGUGAUUUUUCCUUUGUUUCUUGCUCAACCAGUUGUUGUUCAAUUUGUUCAUUGUACCUCUUUGGGGAUAAAUGAUCUGCUACAGAAUAACGGUUAAGAUUUUCUCUGACCUCUUGAGAUUCUACUAAUUAUUUCAUCAGUUGGCCAUGAGGAAAUAUUAGCGGUUGUUCAUCACAAGUUUAACUCUGGUCUCUGCUAGUUUGCUGGGGACUUCUUUUCCUGUUUUCUUUUAGUUAUUUUUCUUUCUUUUUGGUGUAUAUCAAGAUGUGCAUUCUUGCGUCUUAACGUUUAUGCGGGUCAUUGCUUUUUCAUUUUUGCGCUUUUAAGUGAUGACCAGUCGAAAAGGAAGCAUAAAAAGCUUGAAAAUUAAAUUGCUCUUACUAUGCUCAGUUUUGGCAUCAGAAUGCUUGAACAACUUGAUAAAGCUUGGAAUACUGAAAAAUGGUUCUCCAAUGUCACGGAGUCCAGAACCAUAUUUUACGCUACAAGAGAAGAAGUACAAUAUAGGCAAAAGAAAUAUAAGGAUUCACUGAGAAGUCAUCCUUCUUUAUUUUCUUGCAGAUGCUCUUUGUUUUCCUCCUGUCUUUUAAUUGAUGCUGUCCACAGAAAGGAAAAGAAAAAGCAGAAAAAGAUUUUAAGUCAGAGUAGAAAGUUUUUAAUAGUGAAUUAAACUUUGAUCUAAAAUCUAAAUGCCCCACAGAAAGGAAACGAAAAAGCAGAAAAAGAUUUUAAGUCAGAGUAGAAAGUUUUUAAUAGUGAAUUAAACUUUGAUCUAAAAUCUAAAUGCAUAAAAAGAGUAGCUUACAUAUCGCAGUUAACAGUUCUGGAGACAGGGGUAUCCAUAGUGACACCACACUUGGUGGGAAGAGCUUGAGCUGCAUCGUCUUUAAGGUUCGCGUACCUAUUAGCAGCAGCCUUGACACAAUUGCAAGCUGCCCUUUUGUCGGCUGUGGUUUGAGCCAAUUCUUUUAGGCUUUUCACCCCACUGCAGCAAGCUGCACUUGGAUCACCACCCUGAGUAAGGUAAGGGAUACAUGGUGCUAAAGAAGCGUCCACUUGACCACAGGUAAGAGCUUGUCCUGGCUCAAACAUGAGCUAAAUCAUGGCCAGCACCACAAUGGCAAUGAUGAUUCCCUUCAUCUUUUCAGUUUUGUGUAAGAAAAAGGAUAGUUUUAAGGCAGGUGUUUUUUUUUCUGGAUUCUUGAUUGGCCUUGUUGAUGACUAGCCAGUGUCUUAGGAGGGUUUAUAUAGGAAUAUGAUAAGUGCUAAGAAAAGUAAAUUUGUUCUUUGCUGUGGUAAUAUCAGUUAUCUCUUUUAGGAUUUUUGUUUCCUUGUUAUGUCAUUUCCUGGUCGAUUGGAAACAGCCUCUCUGCCCUUUCGGGUAGGGGUAAGGCCCGUCUACAUAUUACCNNNNNNNNNNNNNNNNNNNNNNNNNNNNNNNNNNNNNNNNNNNNNNNNNNNNNNNNNNNNNNNNNNNNNNNNNNNNNNNNNNNNNNNNNNNCCCCAGGGUAGGGGUAAGGUCUGCGUACACACUACCCUCCCCAAACCCCACUCUGUUGUUGUUGUUGUUGUUGUUGUUGUUGUUGUUGUUGUUGUUGUUAACACUAGAAAACAAAAUAGGUCCUGGAAUGGUGAUUCAAUUACAUUCAAUACAUUUCCUGAUUUGUUGCAGAAGAAAGGAACAAAUAGUCUUACAUGUUAUGUUAUGACGUACGGUUAUUUGCAGGUAUUGAUGAUGCUUCAUCUUUCUCUACUAGUGGUGCUUAGAGAUAAAUGAAUUCAACAAACCUUAUCUCUUUUGCAUCUGAAACCACUUUCUUUCUUUCCAGCCUUAAUGGUCAGCAGCGAAAUACACAUCUCUGUUUUGUGUGCCAGUAUGAAAGAAAAGGCAAACCAUGCAUGUUGUUUAAUAUAACUUACAAAUUGAUGUAUCAAUUUAUUCCUUAUAUUUUUUACUGACUGCAUCAGGUAGCUAUUUUGAUCAUCAUUUCCUUGUGAACUUUUGUAUACAAACUGUCUUUGAAUUGGAUUAGAUGAACUCAAAUUCAUUUAAUUUGAGCCUUAAAUUAGUUAGCUUGGAUCAGAAUUUAAAGCAAACCAACAUAUUCGGUGGAAUAUGUCCUCGAGCUUCAAUAAUUCGUGCAUCACUUGGCUGGUUUUCUUAGCAUAUGAUUUGUAAAGAAACAAGAAAGCUCCCCAAAUCAUUUGUAAAAGAAUAUAAAUGUUGUUCCCAAGCAGAUGAUCACACUUUGAUGCAUGAGUAGAACAUACAGCAGUGACACAUUGGAGCAGAAUUUUUGAUAACGUAGGAGCAGAAUUAAGACAUCUAAUGAUAAAAACGACUUAGUUGAUCAGCGAUUGUUCUGAUUCAAGGGGUCGCCAUGGGAACUAUUACCCCCUCCCCACACCCUGGGUGAAUCAAAAGACUAUUAUUCCUCUUUAAACAGAAGGAAAAAGAACUAGAAAAAUUAGUCCUUUUUAAAAUCUCCCAUACAGCUUACAACCACUCAGUCACUCAAGUAGGAAUUUUUGGGAGUGAUGAGAACUGAUAUAAGAGAGAUGGUGUUUCAGUGCCACUGAAAAAAUGAACAUGGAUAGUUGUGAUUUCUCUGCGUGAAUGAUACUGUUUCUUUUCCUACUUAAAGCAAAAACAGUCCCUUCAACAUAGUUGUACAAACAGAUUGAGAAAGAAAACUGUAUAAAUGGAUAUUUUUGAAAACUUAUCUGGUGCUAUUUGUGUUUUGACUAGUACUACAUUGUUUCCUUAGUUUAGAACAAACAGUGCAAGUUUGCUGUUAUGACUAUAGGUCCUAGGGUGGAUAGUUGUUUUCCUAUCUUCUCUUGUCAACACAUGUUUAUUCAAACUUUCAACAUACUUAUGUAUGCAAGUCCAGUCAAUAUUUUCUUUACCCUCAGGAGUUGGUCGACUUAGAGUAAAGUCUGACCAAAUGAGUAAAUUCUGCCAUGGGUGCUAAAAUCUCUGCUUUAUGUUGCUAGAUCUGAAUUACAUGAAGAUAUCUGUAAGAGAGAAAUACUCAAGAAUUUGAUAAUCACUCUUGAAUGAGGGGAAAAAAAGAGAUCUUGAUGAGCAUGCACACCGGCAUAAGGACUUGACUACAAUUUCUUUGGUAUCACUAGCAAAAUUCAGAUUUUCAGAAAUAAGUAUCCAUUAUUGCUAUUCAUCCUGAAGAGAAACUCGUAAAGAUACCUACUAAUUAAGUAUACGAUGGCAAUGUCAUCUUAAUACAUUUUAUGUCGUCAAAAUCUAAUGGAAUUAAAUAAUAGAAUCUACUGCUGGCAUAUACUGGUAAUCUGCACUAAUGUUUUUGAGUUCUUGGAUCGCUUGUCGUUCUAGGGGAAGUUCAUGGGGCUAAGAUAAUCCAAUCCUUUGACGAUAUAUCAGUUUAUUCAACUAAUUAAUUUUUAAGUAUACGGAUUACAAAGAAACCUUAAUUGAAAUCGAACUGAAAUGAUGUUUCCUUUUCAUCCUUUAGCUAUGAUGAAUUUUCUAUCACUUUAUACUUAUCCCUAAGAAUUCUAAAAAGAGGUACAAUUGAUGUUCUCACAAGAAUUCAUUUCAUCAUUAAUACUGGUCACUGCAGCUUGCAAAUCCCUGGGAAAGGGAUGGGGAACAGAGAGGUAAUUCAGUAAUUUAUGAAUGAUAUAAUGUUGCAUCCCUACUACUUUCGUACUAUUAGUUUUCUCAGAAAAGAUGGAUGAUGUAAAGGAAAAUGGAAUUUGGAAUCAGCCCUUUUGUAGAAACUCAUGAAUCAUGGGGAUCCAAGAAAAUGAAUGGUCCAACUGAAAGUCCAUGGGGCCCUGACAGUUCAGCUUUGGAAGCAAAAUACAAAUUAGAAUAGGAGGAAUAAAUAGGAGUUAUCUUGAUAAGAAUAUGGAGUGUGAGGUUAGUCUUUUUGCCACCCCUUCCAAUAAAAAAGGCACUUAAGGUUCUCUAGAUCCUCUUUGACGGAUAUUUCCUAGCAUUGUACUCUUGAUGCCAUGUAGCACCAGAAUUAUUGAGGAUAGAAGUUGCUAAGUUAAGGUUAUACUCCAUAAAUUGAAUUGCUACUGAUCAGGAGUUUUUUCUUUUUCUCUCUUUUAACCCAAAUAAAUGAACUAAUCUUGUUCUAAAAUUUCUGCAAAUGGAGCCUGAAUGAUACUAGCUUAACUAGGAGGAAGACAUCCAUUUCUGGCUUGAACAAUUUUAACCUAUUUGAUUGCAUGUACCAGAGUUCAUACAGAUCAUGUUCCAAUUUUACUAAAUGCAAUAGAAGAUUCCAGGUUAGUGCUUCCUUUUUAGGGAUGAAUACUUCGUAGGAUGAGGGACAUAGAUAGAGUAAAUGAUCAAUCUUUUAAAAGAUGAUGAAGCCAAAAUAAACUAUCAAAUUGUCCAUGUCACAGUUCAAUAAUCUUGGGAAAUUGCAGAAACACUUUAUGCUCGGUAAAGCUUUGAUCAUUACAAGCAGUAGUUCUCUCAUCACUUGGACUAUUAUUUGAAAAAAGAUAGAACAAAAUAUGAAGUCAUCCUCUCUUUAUUCCUUCCACACCAUCAUCAUCAAUGGCCUCAAUCUCAGUUGAUCCUGCAAAUGUUUGAUAAUAAUAUAACCAGUCAGGACUCAAAAGUGAAUGUAGUUGAAGAAUUACAUGAAAUGUGAAAAUUAUCUUGAAAAGCAGAAAACAAAUCUUACAGGUCACAGUUGACGCUCUUAGAAACAGUAAUGUCCAAUGUUACACCACACUUGGUAGGGAGAGCCUGGGCAGCGUCUUCCUUCAAGUUUGCAUACCGGUUGGCAGCAGCCUUGACACAAUUACAUGCAGCCCUCUUGUCAGCGGUGUUUUGAGCCAUACCUUUCAACGCCCUCACACCAUUACAGCAAGCUGCUCCUGGAUCCCCGCCCUGACUAAGGUAAGGAAUACAAGGUGCUAAAGAAGCAUCCACUUGACCACAAGUAAGAGCCUGUCCUGGCUCAACCAUGAACUGAAUCAUGGCCAACACUGCAAUUGCUGAAAUGAUGAUUCCCUUCAUAUUCGCUUUCUGUUGAAAACUUGAAGUUUUUGGAUUACUAGUUUUCUUUUCUUGGUUCUCCCUGUGGACUGGUAUAGUUGAAGGCAUAGUAGGGGAUAUAUAUAGUAUUUUCAAGAUGGCUAAUAAAAGAAAGGUCAGUUAAUGGCUUAUCUAAAAUUUAUUACACGAUUUUGGCCUUUUCCCUUUCUUAUGUCAAGGGGAUAUAUAUAGUAUUCUCAAGAUGGCUAAUAAAAGAAAGGUCAGUUAAUGGCUUAUGUAAAAUUUGUUACACAAUUUUGGCCUUUUCCCUUUCUUAUGUCAUUGAUAAACAAUUAGAAGAAGAAAGUGAUGGGAUCAAAACAGUUUCCCUUGCAGCUAUGAUGUUUCCUGCAUGUGUUGUGCUGUGUUCUGGACAUGUAUAUGAACUGAAAAAUCUUAUCCUCAUUGCGAGACAAGAGGGGUUGCUCUCAUGGUAAGCAACCCCCACUUCCAACCGAGAAGUUGUGAGUUCGAGUCUCCCCAAGAGCAAGGUGGGAAUUUCUUGGAGCGAAGGAUGCCGGUGGUCUAUUUGGAAACAGCCUCUCUACCCAGGGUAGGGGUAAGGUCUGCGUACAUACUACUCUUCCCAGACCCCACUAAGUGGGAUUAUACUGGGUUGUUGUUGUUGUUGUUGUUGUUGUAUUGAUUGCAGAAAAUUACACUUCCGGGAAUUUCCUUAAUAAAAGAAUUGUUAGGUUGAUAUUAAUAAGAUGCAUCUAUUCUCCAAAAUUUGACUAGUUAAGAUACCUAUUUCAAAUCGCCAGUCUCAACAGUUAGACAUAAGGAAUGUUGUCCUAACUCUGUAGUCUGUACAUCAUAGUUGAAAGUAACAUGGUCCGAAUAUGGUCUAAUGUAAUAAUGAUUACUGAUUAUGAUAAUCUUACUGAACAAGUCUUAUAUGUUAUUUAUCUGGGGGGAGGGGAUUAUCUAAUAAGGAAUCUGACCCAAAACCUUAAGGCGAUAGAGAGGAUAGAUGUAACAUUCUCUAAUGUCGGAGUAGUACGAGGAGAUGCCGUUAGAUCUCCUCUCAUCCUUUCUUUUCUUAUUAUUUUUCCUGAUAUUCUCCCUGAUCAAACAUUUUGGUAUAGUUUUGAGCUCCUUUACAAAAUUGCUGUGUUUGGCCUUUUUGUAAUGGGAUUCCUCUUUGAAGCUUUAUAUUCCCAAGUCAACUUUGUGGACUUGCGAAAACUUUCUAGAAUAACUUAGUCUUCAUCAUUUCCAUUACAAAUGUGCUAAUCAGAUAUUCAUCUAGAUAAAUGGAAUAAGAUUACAUAGAAAAAAGGUUAACUUUGACGGAUCCACAUUGUGCAAAGGGAGUCCAAUUGAAUUCACUUAAUAAAAAAAACUACUGUUUGUAUAGAUUAUGUAUAAAUAUACAAAUAUGUGAAAUAUAUAAUUUGACAUUAGGACGGUGUCUGUAGAGAUGCUCUGGCAGGUCCAAGGUGUAUAUAUAUAUAUAUAUAUAUAUAGGCGGAAAUCAUUUUAACCAUUGUGGAUUAGAUAGUUUGAUACUGAAAUAAUAAAAUUAUUUAGGAAACUUAGCAUUGAUUUUGGUUAGUUUAUUAUUAGGCUGAAACUGGAAUUCCUUAUUGUUAGAGACAAUAAGCAUUACAAAUUAGUGAUGAGAACUAAAAAAUUAGUAGUGUCCAUAUAAUAAAUUGUUAAUUGAUGAAAUAAUGCGAUUUUAGAAAGAAAUUGUUCUGAGACCAUUUAUGACCGCUACCUCAUUCUGUUCUUUUCCUCCUCUACGUUUAGUUGACGUUUAUGAGAUGAUAAGUGGACGACUAAAACGGUUGCAUCUGAUUUUAGCUGUUUAGCUUAGUGAUGUUUUUGUGAUUAAGGAAGACUGUUAUAUUAGUUUGGAAUUUCCAUCCGUUUACAUGUCAAUCAUAUACUAUAUGUUUCCAGUGGCAUUUGUCUAUUUCUGAGUGAUAUAAUUGAAUUCAGAAACACAUCUUCUUUAGUUGCAGUUUGUCUGGCUGAGAGCCUUAGACUACUUUGUCUACAAGUACAAUGCGCAAAUUUAAAGGAUUAGUAUAGUGUCAUGCCAAAUCUUGGUUAUGGGAAAAAAUACGAUUUAAGUAACUGCAGUAGAUGAUGAGAUUCGCAAUUACUCCACAUAAAUUUUGAUCAAAUUCAAGAAUGCAUCAGUUGGAAAACAUACAUUCUUUAGCAACUAAUCUUACUUGGAAUAUAUUGGAUUAUGGUGUUUAAACACAAGAGCUUCUUUCAACGUAAAAGUUGACUAAAUAACAUUAACUUGAUGUGCCAAAUAGGAUGGGAGAGCAAUUCGUAAAUUCUUUAAGCUGGUUUAGUGGUUUUUUCGCUCAUUAAUGUCUUGAAUCCCAACCUCUAUGACCCACAUGAGAAAGAAAGCUAAUGCAUUAGCAUUGAACUAGAUGACUGUCAUGGCAAGUAACCUGCCUUAUUUUUCAGGUUAAUAAUCCUAUUUAUUAUGGACUGUCACCUGUAGUUCUUUUUACACUGUAAGUGUAUAGAAGUUAAACUUAAGGCAUUGAACUAGAUGCCCGUCGAUAUUGCACAACUUUUGUCUUUCCAAAAUUAUAUAUGUAGUUCAUACAGUCGUAUAUGCUUUUAUUGGCUCUGCAAUAUGAAAUGCGCAUUGGCAUAAUUGUCCAGAGAAGGACAAAAGAGAGUAUUGUAUUAUUAUAAUAUCUCAAAGCUUCUUAUACAUCAAAAUAAGCAGGUAAUGUAAAACUUGGUUCCAUGUAUUUCUAGCAUGAUCAGCCUGGCAAGUUUCUGGCUGCAUUGAAUCACUUCAGUUGAUUCUGCAAAAAAGAAACAAAUAAGAAUGUGCAAUUACUCUAAUUGAGAUGUAUAAUUAUAUGAUGAUAAUCUUACAUGUCACAGUUUAUGGUACGAGAGACGGGAAUAUCCAUUGUAACACCACAUUUGCUAGGGAGAGCCUGAGCAGCAUCAUCCUUCAGAUUUGCAUA
rnacentral:lncRNA from 1 species